rnacentral:rRNA from 1 species
GAUGAACGCUGGCGGCGUGCCUAAUACAUGCAAGUCGAGCGAACAGACGAGGAGCUUGCUCCUCUGACGUUAGCGGCGGACGGGUGAGUAACACGUGGAUAACCUACCUAUAAGACUGGGAUAACUUCGGGAACCCGGAGCUAAUACCGGAUAAUAUAUUGAACCGCAUGGUUCAAUAGUGAAAGACGGUUUUGCUGUCACUUAUAGAUGGAUCCGCGCCGCAUUAGCUAGUUGGUAAGGUAACGGCUUACCAAGGCAACGAUGCGUAGCUGACCUGAGAGGGUGAUCGGCCACACUGGAACUGAGACACGGUCCAGACUCCUACGGGAGGCAGCAGUAGGGAAUCUUCCGCAAUGGGCGAAAGCCUGACGGAGCAACGCCGCGUGAGUGAUGAAGGUCUUCGGAUCGUAAAACUCUGUUAUUAGGGAAGAACAAAUGUGUAAGUAACUAUGCACGUCUUGACGGUACCUAAUCAGAAAGCCACGGCUAACUACGUG